rnacentral:rRNA from 1 species
GUAGGGAAUAUUGCGCAAUGGACGAAAGUCUGACGCAGCGACGCCGCGUGAGUGAUGAAGGCCUUAGGGUCGUAAAGCUCUGUUGAAUGGGAAGAAAAAAAUGACGGUACCAUUCGAGGAAGGACCGGCUAACUUCGUGCCAGCAGCCGCGGUAAUACGUGGGGUCCUAGCGUUGUUCGGAAUCAUUGGGCGUAAAGGGUGUGUAGGUGGCCAUGUAAGUCAGGUGUGAAAGCCCCGGGCUCAACCCGGGAAGUGCACUUGAUACUGCGUGGCUUGAGUACCGAAGAGGGUAGUGGAAUUCCAGGUGUGGUGGUGAAAUACGUAGAUAUCUGGAGGAACACCGGUGGCGAAGGCGGCUACCUGGUCGAGUACUGACACUGAGACACGAAAGCAUGGGGAUCAAACAGGAUUAGAUACCCUGGUAGUCC